AAGAUUCCAUCAUGUUUUGCAUUUUUUUGUAAAAUAUUGGUUUAGUUUUU
rnacentral:pre_miRNA from 1 species